rnacentral:rRNA from 1 species
UGACAGUACUCCUACGGGGAGGCAGCAGUGGGGGAAUAGUUGCACAAUGGGCGCAAGCCUGAUGCAGCCAGUGCCGCGUGUGUGAAGAAGGCCUUCGGGUUGUAAAGCACUUUCAGUCGUGAGGAAGGUAGUGUAGUUAAUAGCUGCAUUAUUUGACGUUAGCGACAGAAGAAGCACCGGCUAACUCCGUGCCAGCAGCCGCGGUAAUACGGAGGGUGCGAGCGUUAAUCGGAAUUACUGGGCGUAAAGCGCAUGCAGGUGGUUUGUUAAGUCAGAUGUGAAAGCCCGGGGCGUCAACCUCGGAAUAGCAUUUGAAACUAGGCAGACUAGAGUACUGUAGAGGGGGGUAGGAAUUUCAGGUGUAGCGGUGAAAUAGCGUAGAGAUCUGAAGGAAUACCGGUGGCGAAGGCGGCCCCCUGGACAGAUACUGACACUCAGAUGCGAAAGCGUGGGGAGCAAACAGGAUUAGAUACCCCCUGGUAG